UGACGGGGACCCGCACAAGCGGUGGAUGAUGUGGUUUAAUUCGAUGCAACGCGAAAAACCUUACCCACCUUUGACAUGGCAGGAAGUUUCCAGAGAUGGAUUCGUGCCCGAAAGGGAACCUGCACACAGGUGCUGCAUGGCUGUCGUCAGCUCGUGUCGUGAGAUGUUGGGUUAAGUCCCGCAACGAGCGCAACCCUUGCCAUUAGUUGCUACGAAAGGGCACUCUAAUGGGACUGCCGGUGACAAACCGGAGGAAGGUGGGGAUGACGUCAAGUCCUCAUGGCCCUUAUAGGUGGGGCUACACACGUCAUACAAUGGCUGGUACAGAGGGUUGCCAACCCGCGAGGGGGAGCUAAUCCCAUAAAGCCAGUCGUAGUCCGGAUCGCAGUCUGCAACUCGACUGCGUGAAGUCGGAAUCGCUAGUAAUCGCGGAUCAGAAUGUCGCGGUGAAUACGUUCCCGGGUCUUGUACACACCGCCCGUCACACCAUGGGAGCGGGUUCUGCCAGAAGUAGGUAGCCUAACCGUAAGGAGGGCGCUUACCACGGCAGGGUUCGUGACUGGGGUGAAGUCGUAACAAGGUAACCAAGGGC
rnacentral:rRNA from 1 species